UACGAAGGGGGCUAGCGUUGCUCGGAAUUACUGGGCGUAAAGCGCACGUAGGCGGCUUUCUAAGUCGGGGGUGAAAUCCUGGAGCUCAACUCCAGAACUGCCUUCGAUACUGGAAGCUCGAGUCCGGGAGAGGUGAGUGGAACUGCGGGUGUAGAGGUGAAAUUCGUAGAUAUUCGCAAGAACACCAGUGGCGAAGGCGGCUCACUGGCCCGGUACUGACGCUGAGGUGCGAAAGCGUGGGGAGCAAACAGG
rnacentral:rRNA from 1 species